AAAAAGACCGUGCAUUCUUUUCUGGCAUUCCAUCAAACAGUUGACGUGCAGUUUGACUAGAGAACAAUUCUCAGACUGCAGAGAGUAAGAUUCAGUCAAAACUAAUUCAGUUGGACCAUAACAAAUACAUCAGUGCAGAAAAAUGUAGACCGUGCCGUGGGAGUUGAAGCUGUUGCUCCUACUACUCUGGCCGCUGCAGCUUGUCGUUCCCUCUUCAAGACAACCAACUAAAAAAUCAUAGGGAAGAAGCAAGAACAGCAGAAGGCAGUUCUGCGCAUGGCGAGCACAAGGCAGCACCGUCAUGAUUCUUGGUGAAGCAUGGCGACCUCGAGGCAGAAGCUUGGGACAUCAGACCACAUCUAAGGCUAGUCACCUGCAUCGUCAAAUCCAAAAUGCAUCACACAGGAAACCAAACAAAAAAAAUUUGAUUAGGAGCAGGCCCGGAUCAGGGAGCAGGCGAGGGGGAAAUUAAGAACAAUAACAUUACAUUCAGAGGGCUGCAGCUAGGAACAAAAAAGAUAACAUAUACAUCAGCAGACAAACUAGAAAGAAUUGGAUUCGUCAAGGUCCUGGUAAGUAAUCUAUGAAAAUUAGUACGGUAAUCUGGCUACUACUCUUUUUGCAGCUUGACGGCCUCUCAAGCCCGAACAACCACAAACUCACACAUCCAGCAACAAUCAAAGGGGACAAACAAGAAGUUCGAGCACAAAAAAACAUGCCUUUUUUCAAUGCCGCCACUUGAGAGUUGGGAGUAUCUGUGGACCAGGAGGAGGCCGUGAGAGGCCAUGAUCUCCAGAUCAAGCUCCGCGAGGUUGACGACGAUAUCGAUGUGCUCCGCGAGGAUCUCGCUGGUAUUUGUGCAGCAGAAGAGGAUGAAGGGAUGGGGAGCACGAGAUGAGGGCGGGAGAGGGUUGGAGCCGUGCGACUCGCCAGGAUGGUAGAGGGGACGCGGAUUUUUAGAGCAGCUGCGUCGGGGCCGCGCUAUCGUAGCGGUUGAAUCAUCGCUCUGUACCUCAAGAUGCCCGUCACGGAAUCCCAUUUUAGUGCACACGUUACCGUGGCAGAUGGCUGUUACGGUCAUUGAUGUCAUAGGGGUACUGCUCCAUCGUAGGUUCUGCAGAAUUUUGUCCUCCACCUCCUCCUAUGUACCGACGCGCACCCGUGACUUCGACUCACGACUCACUAUACACACCACCCUGCUCGUUCCUUGACUUAUCGUUCAAUGGACGGAGUGCAAGGAGGCGAUUCCAUGGCGCCGGCGCGGAGCCGACUGGAAAUCACUCCGGCGGACGGCGAUAGAUCCAACUCCGCCGCCGGCAAUCCAAUCUUCUCAGGCAGUCCGGUAAUGAAGGGAGCGCUCGAGAAUCCCGGAAGAUGCGCAUAUCCGAGAUGCGACGGCAGACCCCAAUGUGCACACCGGAUUAAUAACGCCUCCGGCUACAUUGAGGGGCGCUAAUUCAUGUGCUUACGGCCCUGUUUGUAAUCCACAUGUACCUGCUCCUGAUUCUGAAAACCUCAUAGUUGUGCCUGGAUGGAAGAACAGUUUGUUCCAUGCUGCAACAGGCAAGUGCUCGGCGCAUAUAUUGAACAUGUGCAAUCCGUUGUGGCCAGAGAGAAUAAGCCCGUGGGUGCGCCAAUCUUUGUAACCAGAGAACAACUGGAGUAUGAAGUCAUGAUCGAUCAUGGGGCUAUUCGGACCA